UGACUAUUGCGCGCUUUAUGAACAUCAUUUCUCCUACUAUGAGCAGCAUUUCUCGAAUAAUUAUUUCUACGUUGGAAAUCAUUUCUAGGUGCUCUAAAGGGUUCAAAAUUCCUUAUAGUAUUUGGCCUAUAAUAUGCAUCAUUUCUAGGGUAGUUAUUUCUAGGUGGUAAGUCAUUGCUAGGUCUUCUAAAAUGUUCAACAUUU
rnacentral:lncRNA from 1 species